rnacentral:snRNA from 1 species
AGAGAAUCACCUGAACCCAGGAGGUGGAGGUUGCAGUGAGCCGAGAUUGCACCACUGCACUCCAAGCCUGGGUGACAAGA